rnacentral:rRNA from 1 species
AACGAACGCUGGCGGCAUGCCUAACACAUGCAAGUCGAACGAGACCUUCGGGUCUAGUGGCGCACGGGUGCGUAACGCGUGGGAAUCUGCCCUUGGGUUCGGGAUAACAGUUGGAAACGACUGCUAAUACCGGAUGAUGACUUCGGUCCAAAGAUUUAUCGCCCAGGGAUGAGCCCGCGUCGGAUUAGCUAGUUGGUGAGGUAAGAGCUCACCAAGGCGACGAUCCGUAGCUGGUCUGAGAGGAUGAUCAGCCACACUGGGACUGAGACACGGCCCAGACUCUGACGGGAGGGGGGAGGGGGAAAUAGAGAAAAAGGGGGGAAGGCUGGACAAACCUAGGCGGGGGGAGGAAUGAAGCCUUGGGGGUAGAAACUCUUUUUUACCGGGGAAGAUAAUGACGGUACCGGAUAAAAAAGCCCCGGCUAACCCCGUC